rnacentral:tRNA from 1 species
CAGAAGAUAGUUUAACCUAGAAUUCUAGCUUUGGGGGCUAGUGGCAUAAGUGCAACUCUUAUUCUUCUGA